CACGUGCCGCCACGGCGGCGAAGUGAUCGGAAGUGCUUCCAAGAAAAGCCUCUAAGCACCAGUCUGACGCGGACCGUACCGCAAACCGACACUGGUGGGCGAGCUGAAUAUGCUCAGGCGCUUGAGAGAACUCGGGAGAAGGAACUCGGCAAAUUGACACCGUAACUUCGGAAGAAGGUGUGCCGUAGUACCGUGAGAGGAGAGACACCUUGAGCGGGAAUCGGUCUCAGAGAAUAGGUGGCUGCGACUGUUUAUUAAAAACACAGCACUCUGCAAAGUCGAAAGACGACGUAUAGGGUGUGAUGCCUGCCCGGUGCUGGAAGAUUAAUUGAUGGGGUGAGAGCCCUUGAUCGAAGUCCCAGUAAACGGCGGCCGUAACUAUAACGGUCCUAAGGUAGCGAAAUUCCUUGUCGGGUAAGUUCCGACCUGCACGAAUGGCAUAACGAUGGCCACACUGUCUCCUCCCGAGACUCAGUGAAGUUGAAAUGUUUGUGAUGAUGCAAUCUACCCGCGGCUAGACGGAAAGACCCCAUGAACCUUUACUGCAGCUUUGCAUUGAACUGUGAACCGAUUUGUGUAGGAUAGGUGGGAGGCAGAGAAGAGGCCACGCCAGUGGUCUUGGAGCCGACCUUGAAAUACCACCCUGAUUUGUUUGCGGUUCUAACCACGGACAGUGAUCCUGUCUUGGGACCGUGCAUGGUAGGCAGUUUGACUGGGGCGGUCUCCUCCUAAAGGGUAACGGAGGAGUACGAAGGUACGCUAGGUACGGUCGGAAAUCGUGCUGAUAGUGCAAUGGCAAAAGCGUGCUUGACUGCGAGAGCAACAACUCGAGCAGAUGCGAAAGCAGGUCAUAGUGAUCCGGUGGCUCUGAAUGGAAGGGCCAUCGCUCAACGGAUAAAAGGUACUCUGGGGAUAACAGGCUGAUACCGCCCAAGAGUUCAUAUCGACGGCGGUGUUUGGCACCUCGAUGUCGGCUCAUCUCAUCCUGGGGCUGUAGUCGGUCCCAAGGGUAUGGCUGUUCGCCAUUUAAAGAGGUACGUGAGCUGGGUUUAAAACGUCGUGAGACAGUUUGGUCCCUAUCUGCCGUGGGCGUUGGAAGAUUGACGGGGGCUGCUCCUAGUACGAGAGGACCGGAGUGGACGCACCUCUGGUGUACCGGUUGUCACGCCAGUGGCAUUGCCGGGUAGCUAAGUGCGGAAGAGAUAACCGCUGAAAGCAUCUAAGCGGGAAACUUGCCUGAAGAUGAGUCUUCCCGGAGGUAAAACCUCCCUCAAGAGUCGUCCGAGACCAGGACGUCGAUAGGUCAGGUGUGUAAGCGCUGUGAGGCGUUGAGCUAACUGAUACUAAUUGCUCGUGAGGCUUGAUCCU
rnacentral:rRNA from 1 species